rnacentral:rRNA from 1 species
CCUACGGGAGGCAGCAGUAAGGAAUAUUGGUCAAUGGAGGGAACUCUGAACCAGCCAUGCCGCGUGAAGGAUGACGGCCCUCUGGGUUGUAAACUUCUUUUGGAUGGGGCGGAAAAACGGGAUUUAUCCUGGACUGACGGUACCAUCAGAAUAAGCACCGGCUAACUCCGUGCCAGCAGCCGCGGUAAU